AGUUGAUCCUGGCUUAGGACGAACGCUGGCGGCGUGCCUAAUACAUGCAAGUGGAACGCAUGAUUGAUACCGUAGCUUGCUACACCAUUAAUCAUGAGUCGCGAACGGGUGAGUAACGCGUAGGUAACCUGCCUACUAGCGGGGGAUAACUAUUGGAAACGAUAGCUAAUACCGCAUAAGAGUUUUUUAACACAUGUUAGAAAUUUAAAAGGGGCAAAUGCUCCACUGGUAGAUGGACCUGCGUUGUAUUAGCUAGUUGGUAAGGUAACGGCUUACCAAGGCGACGAUACAUAGCCGACCUGAGAGGGUGAUCGGCCACACUGGGACUGAGACACGGCCCAGACUCCUACGGGAGGCAGCAGUAGGGAAUCUUCGGCAAUGGGGGGAACCCUGACCGAGCAACGCCGCGUGAGUGAAAGAAGGUUUUCGGAUCGUAAAGCUCUGUUGUAAGAGAAGAACGUUGAGUAGAGUGGAAAGUUACUCAAGUGACGGUAUCUUACCAGAAAGGGACGGCUAACUACGUGCCAGCAGCAGC
rnacentral:rRNA from 1 species